CCCUUAGACGUUCUGGGCCGCACGCGCGCUACACUGACCAGUGCAACAAGCAUCCGUCCUUGGCCGACAGGCCCGGGCAAUCUUUGAACGCUGGUCGUGAUGGGGAUAGACUUUUGCAAUUUUUGGUCUUCAACGAGGAACUCCUAGUAAACGCAAGUCAUCAACUUGCAUUGAUUACGUCCCUGCCCUUUGUACACACCGCCCGUCGCACCUACCGAUUGAAUGGUCCGGUGAAGCCUCCGGAUUGGCGCGCACCUCGGUGCCGCCGAGAAGUUGGCUAAACCUUACCAUUUAGAGGAAGGUGAAGUCGUAACA
rnacentral:rRNA from 1 species